ACUGCACAUUAUUAAAACUUAGGGGGUUAAGCCAUUAUUUGGCCAGUGAACUCUUUAAGUGUCGGAGAUGUGCUACAAUAAUCUGGCAGGUUUUCGCUGACACCACAAGGGUCUAUGUGGCUCGAUGAGUGGAGUUUGAUAGUAAGCCUUGUCACAAUU